GGUAUUUUGCUGCUUGUGUUUGUCAAAGUUAUGAAAGUUAUUUAAAUUGUAUAACGUUUGAAAGAUGCCAAGGGGUAGAGCAAACAUCGAAAAUAAAAUAAGGCUAAGUGGUUUGUGAGCUAAUGAGAGUAAACCUCCCAAAGGAAUAAACGAAGAAGUAAGCUCAGUACUCACGGCAGAUUUUGUUUCGAGUUGAACUUUAAUAGUGUAAAGUGACCUAGGGGAGUUUAUCGUGUUCUGCGUGUAGUUAUGACAGGAAGGUGAGUAUCCCAAAUUCCCGUACAAAUGAAGUUUUGAAGCAACUGAUCACCAAUAAUUUACAAAAUCCAAUAGUUACAAAAAAUAAGGCAGACAUUAUAAUGCUUUAGCGAUGGUUGCCGAUCAGUAAAGACAUGUUAUAUACUAGUAUAUUGAUUGAGACUUAUUUUAUAUGUACAUUGUCAAUGGAUAAAUUCACCAUCGAACAGGCAUCAAUAAAAACUUAGGCAAUGAAAACAAUCAAUUUGCGCAAAUUUAAUUUUAAGAUACAGAGCAAGGGGCAAAGAUGCGUUUUGCUGCAAAAGGAAUGAAGUUUGUAAUCCAACUUAUAAGGCACAUUAUACUACACGUUCAACCAGCCUAGACGGGAAGGUGAAGCUCCUCGGGCAUUCAUCGUUGCCUCCACGCUUUGCUCCCAAUCUUACGAGAAUGACCUUGUAUGAUCAAUGCCUGACCACUGUUUUUGGAGUUGGCGUCCUCACUGGUCCAGAGACAGCAGCGCUGCACAAAAACUGUGAACCCUGAAAUUUCCGAUAUACGAGACUCGGAGAUACUCAUAUUAAUAUAAUACACAAGGUAUAUUAAUGACGCCUAUGCGUACAUGUUCUUGUUGUGUUAAACUUUAUAUAAUCCAGACUGCACAGAAAAAUAUAUAUCUAUAAAAUUCCACACGUUUCAAGAACGUUAAUCUUUCAGUUAUUAUUGUUUUGUGUGUACAAGAAAACCAGACAAUAAAUUCGUCCCUACAGGUGUUUAUACAAAUGCCGUCACGCUAUUGCAGUAAAUACUGUAGCCUAGUAUCUUCCAAAAGACGCGCAUCAAAAUAAAACUUAUAUUACACCACACAAACAAAGUCAAAUAAAACCAAUGUUCAAGUUUUAUUUUACAAUGCUUUGUAACAUUUUAACCAAUAAAAUUGUUAUUCAACACA